AUUGAACGCUAGCGGAAUGCUUUACACAUGCAAGUCGAACGGCAGCACGGGGGCAGCCCUGGUGGCGAGUGGCGAACGGGUGAGUAAUACAUCGGAACGUGCCCGGUCGUGGGGGAUAACGUAGCGAAAGUUACGCUAAUACCGCAUACGAUCUGAGGAUGAAAGCGGGGGACCUUCGGGCCUCGCGCGAUCGGAGCGGCCGAUGUCAGAUUAGGUAGUUGGUGGGGUAAAGGCCUACCAAGCCGACGAUCUGUAGCUGGUCUGAGAGGACGACCAGCCACACUGGGACUGAGACACGGCCCAGACUCCUACGGGAGGCAGCAGUGGGGAAUUUUGGACAAUGGGCGCAAGCCUGAUCCAGCCAUUCCGCGUGCAGGACGAAGGCCUUCGGGUUGUAAACUGCUUUUGUACGGAACGAAAAGGCUCUGGCUAAUACCUGGGGCUCAUGACGGUACCGUAAGAAUAAGCACCGGCUAACUACGUG
rnacentral:rRNA from 1 species